rnacentral:rRNA from 1 species
UACGGAAGGGGCUAGCGUUGUUCGGAAUUACUGGGCGUAAAGCGCGCGUAGGCGGCUUUUCAAGUUAGGUGUGAAAGCCCUGGGCUCAACCUAGGAAUUGCACUUAAGACUGAAAGGCUAGGGUCCGAGAGAGGGUGGUGGAAUUCCCAGUGUAGAGGUGAAAUUCGUAGAUAUUGGGAGGAACACCGGUGGCGAAAGCGGCCACCUGGCUCGGUACCGACGCUCAAGUGCGAAAGCGUGGGGAGCAAACAGG